UUUGAUCCUGGCUCAGAACGAACGCUGGCGGCAGGCUUAACACAUGCAAGUCGAACGCCCCGCAAGGGGAGUGGCAGACGGGUGAGUAACACGUGGGGAUCUGCCCAAUGGUACGGAAUAGCUCUGGGAAACUGGAAAUAAUACCGUAUGAGCCCGCAAGGGGAAAGAUUUAUCGCCAUUGGAUGAACCCGCGUCGGAUUAGCUAGUUGGUGUGGUAAAGGCGCACCAAGGCGACGAUCCGUAGCUGGUCUGAGAGGAUGAUCAGCCACACUGGGACUGAGACACGGCCCAGACUCCUACGGGAGGCAGCAGUGGGGAAUAUUGGACAAUGGGCGCAAGCCUGAUCCAGCCAUGCCGCGUGAGUGAUGAAGGCCUUAGGGUUGUAAAGCUCUUUCGCCGACGAAGAUAAUGACGGUAGUCGGAGAAGAAGCCCCGGCUAACUUCGUGCCAGCAGCCGCGGUAAUACGAAGGGGGCUAGCGUUGUUCGGAAUCACUGGGCGUAAAGCGCACGUAGGCGGAUAUUUAAGUCAGGGGUGAAAGCCUGGAGCUCAACUCCAGAACUGCCCUUGAUANUGGGUAUCUCGAGUCCGGAAGAGGUAAGUGGAACUGCGAGUGUAGAGGUGAAAUUCGUAGAUAUUCGCAAGAACACCAGUGGCGAAGGCGGCUUACUGGUCCGGUACUGACGCUGAG
rnacentral:rRNA from 1 species